GACGAACGCUUUCGGCGUGCUUAACACAUGCAAGUCGAACGGAAAGGCCCUGCUUUUGUGGGGUGCUCGAGUGGCGAACGGGUGAGUAACACGUGAGUAACCUGCCCUUGACUUUGGGAUAACUUCAGGAAACUGGGGCUAAUACCGGAUAGGAGCUCCUGCUGCAUGGUGGGGGUUGGAAAGUUUCGGCGGUUGGGGAUGGACUCGCGGCUUAUCAGCUUGUUGGUGGGGUAGUGGCUUACCAAGGCUUUGACGGGUAGCCGGCCUGAGAGGGUGACCGGCCACAUUGGGACUGAGAUACGGCCCAUACUCCUACGGGAGGCAGCAGUGGGGAAUAUUGCACAAUGGGCGGAAGCCUGAUGCAGCAACGCCGCGUGCGGGAUGACGGCCUUCGGGUUGUAAACCGCUUUCGCCUGUGACGAAGCGUGAGUGACGGUAAUGGGUAAAGAAGCACCGGCUAACUACGUGCCAGCAGCCGCGGUGAUACGUAGGGUGCGAGCGUUGUCCGGAUUUAUUGGGCGUAAAGGGCUCGUAGGUGGUUGAUCGCGUCGGAAGUGUAAUCUUGGGGCUUAACCCUGAGCGUGCUUUCGAUACGGGUUGACUUGAGGAAGGUAGGGGAGAAUGGAAUUCCUGGUGGAGCGGUGGAAUGCCCAUAUAUCAGGAGGAACACCAGUGGCGAAGGCGGUUCUCUGGGCCUUUCCUGACGCUAGGAGCGAAAGCGUGGGGAGCGAACAGGUUAAGAUACCCUGGUGGUCCACGCUGUAAACGGUGGGUACUAGGUGUGGGGUCCAUUCCACGGGUUCCGUGCCGUAGCUAACGCUUUAAGUACCCCGCCUGGGGAGUACGGCCGCAAGGCUAAAACUCAAAGGAAUUGACGGGGCCCCGCACAAGCGGCGGAGCAUGCGGAUUAAUUCGAUGCAACGCGUAGAACCUUACCUGGGUUUGACAUGGAUCGGGAGUGCUCAGAGAUGGGUGUGCCUCUUUUGGGGUCGGUUCACAGGUGGUGCAUGCCUGUCGUCAGCUCGUGUCGUGAGAUGUUGGGUUAAGUCCCGCAACGAGCGCAACCCUUGUUCACUGUUGCCAGCACGUUAUGGUGGGGACUCAGUGGAGACCGCCGGGGUCAACUCGGAGGAAGGUGGGGAUGACGUCAAGUCAUCAUGCCCCUUAUGUCCAGGGCUUCACGCAUGCUACAAUGGCUGGUACAGAGAGUGGCGAGCCUGUGAGGGUGAGCGAAUCUCGGAAAGCCGGUCUCAGUUCGGAUUGGGGUCUGCAACUCGACCUCAUGAAGUCGGAGUCGCUAGUAAUCGCAGAUCAGCAACGCUGCGGUGAAUACGUUCCCGGGGCU
rnacentral:rRNA from 1 species